ACGUAGCGUGUUCAUGCUCCGUUACCCGGCCACGCAUGGCAGCAGAGUGGCUGUUGACCAAAGGCAGCUAGAAAAGUGGCCAACGAGAGGGUCUACCGUAGAGCAGCUCCGGCGCGCACAGCACAACCCACUUUUUCGAGACGGGCGUGAGCGUCGCCAUGGCACGCGGCGCGGAAAAGGUGUUCGAUGAAAUGCCGCUGCGGGGGGUGCUCACACCUCCACGGCGUCGUUUGGCCGGUCGUUCGAUGGAAGGCCUCCGACCGAGAGGGUCGGCGCUGGGUGCGCCCGCCGUGGUCCGCCGGGCAGGACGGCACAGGCGCACGGUCCGCUCCCGGCGCGCCGCGGACGGGCCACGGAAUGGCAGAGCAGCAAACCUGCCAUCUGGGACGGAUGAAUCGUGAUAAAAGUCGAUGACACAUGGCUUGCGCUUCUGCGCAUCAGUCAAUCACAUCCUGGCAAAGGUAACGCGCUUUUGCGCUUCAGGUUGAAACAAACAUUCAAGUACGGAAUGCGAAAUGUAGGAGGACUACGGAAACUCACCAUAGCUCACAUUUGUUGAUUCUGGAAUAUCUGUCACCAACCUGCAUGCAUGAAUUUCUGUGUCUUACCAGUGAAGGUACUCUCUUUUCGUUGGAUUGCUUGGACUUGGUGAGUCGGGAUCCACCAUCACCUAGUGGACUCUGAGUGAUGCUGAUUUGAUAAAUGGAUCCAAGAUAUCUCCAACUACGUUGCCUACUACAAGUGGGUCCCUUGACAUGGUUAGCUACGAUUGGCAAUUCAAGGCACUCUAACUUGGCUUGAAGUCUGAACUUGGGUGAAGUGAAGGGUGCAGGCUGGUACUCUAUAUAUACUCCCAGUCCCCAAUGAGGACCAUUCAUGAUGACUGAAACUAUUAGCUCUAGACGCCAUGGUAUCUUGCUUUAUACUGUAAAGAAUGAUAUGGGUUGCCAUCACCAGAAAUAUUUUGGGCUGUCCACCCUCUGUGUCUACACCAAUGGAAGGAGUGCUCACUGCAAUUCCACGCAGGUGAAUAUAAUCUGAUGUAUCACACUCACUUAUUCCCUAUAUAUCCAGAGCCUAAUAAAUAGUUGUUCGUAGCGAAAAAAGGAGAUUGCCUUUUGACCUAUAUCCUAGACUGACGCCUUAUGUUCCUUUGUUUUCUCCUAGACAUUUAGCCUUGAUGGUUGCUAUGUUUCUUUGUUUAUGCAUUGCAACAAGUCGAAAAGGAUGAUGUAUUGAUGGUGCUUCAACAGGGAUGAGCAUACUAUACGGUAACAGAUAAAGGUGGUAGGGGAUUUUCUUCACAAAUGCAUCAAUUGUUCGGUGUCUGCUCCUAAGAUAAUGAUUUCAAUAUUAUAUGCUCAAGAGCUAUUUUUUUGUACAAGUGUAUGCUCUAUAUCAUUGCAUGGUGUCGUCUAGAAUUCAGAAUCAUGUAAAAUUCAUCCUGCGAACACUACACAGGAGCUUCCUUUUGUUUAACGAUGAUAAUGUUAGUGUGGGCCAUCAACACUCAUUCUAUCAAUUGUGAAUUAUGAUGCAAAUUUUCCUUUGAGAAGCAUCUUCAUUUUUCUAUCUUUAUAAAUCAGGAGGAUUUAAGCUUUAUUCUUCCUAAUGGUGUUAAAUAAGCACAUAGACUGAAUGCCUCUUUAUUCAGAGCAGUUGGAUACUGUAAAUAUGAUAAUGAUAGUAAUGGAUGCUUUUAAGAUCGAUUCUGAUUUGCCAACACAAGAGUUGUGGUCAAAGAUAAUUUAUUUAUUCCAAAAUGUGUUAAUUUCAUAAAAAAUGUGCCAGUAAAUGUAUAAAGCCAUAGAUGAUAGUUGAUAGAUCCAUUUCCUUUUGCCUCACAAUUUUACUGCCCUUGGUUGUGUUUGAAUAUUAUAAUGUUAUCAUAGAUCAUGCUGUGUUUCAACCUUUCAGGAUAAAAGAGGCAGCAAGGCUUUGAUAGAUAAAGUCUACAAUGAUAUCGACUAGUAUCUAAGUUUCAGUUUCUGCACCAACGGUUAUACUACCUGCACUGGGGCAAGAAACUCAAAUUCGACCAGAGAAACUCUGCUUUGCCUUAAAGGUGUUGUUAAUAAAUUAGGAAGUUAUCUCCCGAUCCUCAAUACAAGAUUUUCAUGCCACUUUGGUGAGCUUCGAACACGGGACUGAAAGGGUUUACUUAACAUCAUGAUGCAUUGAAUAUGAACGCCAAAGUUAGUGGAAUGACUGGAACGUAUGGAGCUCUUGGUUCAUUGCACAUUCUUGACCUUGGCUGACGAAUAAAGCAGUUCUUCUCUUCACGUGAGCAUAUCCCAUUGGUCCAGCCACUCCAAGGGUGAAUGCAACUUGGAGAAAGGAUGUAUGAGUACUUCACAUGGGGGCUGUCAAAGUUUCGAACUGGACAUAUGACAGAGGGCUUCAGCGGUAGACGUACAGGCUUGAGUACAGACUAUUGAACAAUAUCCAGAAACAUUUGACUGAGAAAUGAGAAACUAGAUUUGCCAGAGAUUGCCAUGUGCUGUCGUUGACAGCGGGUGUAGCGGGGAAAGAAAUGGAUUGUGAUGCCUCCUUUUAUUCCCUCGCAAAGUUGGAAGAUUUCCUGAAGAAAAUUAGUAGUAGCAUCUAACUGCUUAGCCGCAGAUAUUAGUAUAUUACAGAUUUCAAGAUUGUGGGCGGGCGUCGGCACAUCGCAAGCUGUUUAAUCAACCGCUGGAGCACGAAUUCUGGUAUGUCAAGACCUAACGUACAUACAUACAUACAGUAGCCGUUUUCAGGUAUUGCUGGUAUAUACUAUCCUCUCUACCUACCAUAUAUACUUGCUACUGCCCUAGUACAGUACCUAGCGUCUGCUUGUUUUGUCAUUGCCUGUGUCUGUGCAGAGCAACAACAACGACAUGCUGAACCGAUCAAGCUAGAUCGCAAUCGGAAUCUGGUGGAGAACAAGAAUCCUUCUGGAAAAGACGAGCUAUAGCUGCAGCGUGCGUGCACUUGAUCUACUGCUCCAUUAUUCUCCUGUGUCGAUCCCUUGCUGACUGCAUGCAACAACGGCUACUCCUCAACCUCAAGAGCUAAGCUAAGCUAAGCUAAGCUAGACGGAGGCUGCUGGCGCGUACGUGCGUCGUUGGUACAUGUGCUGUGCAAGUUGCAGGCGCAUACGAAUACGAUCGAGAGCCUCAGGCCCUCAUCAUCAGCUGUCCAUUAGUGGAAUGGCAUGGAGAUGGACCGGAGCUGGUGUUUCGAUUGGAGUGCCAGGCGCCAUGGAUGGAUGGAUAUGCUUAGGUUGCUGAUGCUACCUUCGUCCACUGUGCUACCGCGCUACCAUGUAUGGCGUGGCAUUGCAAGCUUAUCACUUUCCGAUAGGCCUGGAGCCUGGAGGCAAGUCAGCGGUGGACAAAAUACUGGUGGCGUCAUGCAUGGAUGGAUGAGCGUGAGCGCACGCGGCACGCUCAUUCUGAGUCCAUUCACAUGACAUGGCACCGGAAAAAGGUCGCACCACCGGAAAAUCGGUGCGAGAGGCGGCUGUUCUCUGGAGCGUUCUCUUGUGUAGCCAACUAGCUAGCCAUGUCGGCAGUGUACGUACAAAUAAACAAGAUGUAGCCAGGCAGCAGGCAGGCACAGAGAAAUAGUCUAGACCCAAUGCGUGCACCGUGCUCUGCAGGUCAUGCCUCAAGAUGGUAAUGGAUAUCCUAAACCCAAUGAAUUUUUACAGGUAAGAGUAUGGAUAAAUUUCUCUAUCCAUAGGUUUGUUAAUGACAAAAAUCUAGACCUAACAGGUUUUUUAUGAGCAUGGGUUUGGGGUUAUAGUACCCAAACCUGUAAACCCAUGAGUUUUUAAAAUCUGAUCCAUCAUAGUGAAGCUCAGUCCACAAUAUCUGCUAAACUACUACGUUCAGAGACAUAUAUAAGAUGAUAUGUUCAUUCAAGUGAAAAAUAAGAAGAAUGAAUAUAACUUCAUAUUGUGAGACA